AUUGAACGCUGGCGGCAGGCCUAACACAUGCAAGUCGAGCGAGCGGCGGACGGGUGAGUAAUGUAUGGGGACUGCCCGAUCGAGGGGGAUAACUACUGGAAACGGUGGCUAAUACCGCAUACUGUCGGAGAACACAUAUGGGAUUAGCUAGUAGGUAAGGUAAUGGCUUACCUAGGCGACGAUCCCUAGCUGGUCUGAGAGGAUGAUCAACCACACUGGGACUGAGACACGGCCCCGACUCCUACGGAGGGAGCAGUGGGGAAUAUUGCACAAUGGGCGCAAGCCUGAUGCAGCCAUGCCGCGUGUAUGAAGAAGGCCCUAGGGUUGUAAAGUACUUUCAGUCGGGAGGCGUUACCGACAGAAGAAGCACCGGCUAACUCCGUGCCAGCAGCCGCGGUAAUUC
rnacentral:rRNA from 1 species